rnacentral:rRNA from 1 species
GACGAGGGAUCCUAGCGUUGUUCGGAAUUAUUGGGCGUAAAGCGGGUGUAGGCGGACUUAUAAGUCAGGUGUGAAAUCCCAGGGCUCAACCCUGGAAGUGCACUUGAUACUGUAAGUCUUGAAUGUGGUAGAGGUUACUAGAAUUCCUGGUGUAGUGGUGAAAUACGUAGAUAUCGAGAGGAACACCAGUGGCGAAGGCGAGUCCCUGGACAACACCUGACACUGAGGCACGAAAGCUAGGGGAGCAAACAGG